rnacentral:rRNA from 1 species
CUGAGACCGAUGCGCGAUUUCCGUCCUCUCGUCUCGGGUUUCGGCUCGUUUCGGGGCUAAAGGCCGGCGCGCUCCGCUUUGGUGACUCUGGAUAACUCACUGGUCGAUCGCACGGGCUUCCACGCCCGGCGACGGGUCCCCCGAGGGUCCGCCCUAUCAACUG